UGGGGAAUAUUGCACAAUAGGCGCAAGCCUGAUGCAGCAACGCCGCGUGAGGGACGACGGCCUUCGGGUUGUAAACCUCUUUUGGCAGGGAAGAAGCGAAAGUGACGGUACCUGCAGAAAAAGCACCGGCUAACUACGUGCCAGCAGCCGCGGUGAUACGUAGGGUGCAAGCGUUGUCCGGAAUUAUUGGGCGUAAAGAGCCCGUAGGCGGUUUGUCGCGUCUGCUGUGAAAACCCGAGGCUCAACCUCGGGCCUGCAGUGGGUACGGGCAGACUAGAGUGCGGUAGGGGAGAUUGGAAUUCCUGGUGUAGCGGUGGAAUGCGCAGAUAUCAGGAGGAACACCGAUGGCGAAGGCAGAUCUCUGAGCCGUAACUGACGCUGAGGAGCGAAAGCAUGGGGAGCGAACA
rnacentral:rRNA from 1 species